rnacentral:tRNA from 3 species
GGGCCUAUAGCUCAAUGGUUAGAGCAGCGAACUCAUAAUUCGUUGGUUCCAGGUUCGAGUCCUGGUGGGCCCACCA